rnacentral:rRNA from 1 species
UACAGAGGAGCCAAGCGUUGUCCGGAUUGACUGGGCGUAAAGCGCACGCAGGCGGCAUCGCGCGUGGGGUGUGAAAUCUGGCCGCUUAACGGCCAGGCGCCAUCCCAUACGGCGAGGCUGGAGCGAUGCAGAGGUCGGUGGAAUUGCCGGUGUAGUGGUGAAAUGCGCAGAUAUCAGGAGGAACACCGGUGGCGAAGGCGGGUCUCUGGGCCGAUACUGACGCUGAGGCGCGAAAGCAUGGGGAGCGAACGGG